CUCGUAGGCGGUUUAUCAAGAAAGGUGUGAAAUCCCCGGGCUCAACCUGGGAAUGGCACUUUUAACUGAUAGGCUAGAGUAUGUCAGAGGGGGGUAGGAAUUCCACGUGUAGCAGUGAAAUGCGUAGAGAUGUGGAGGAAUACCGAUGGCGAAGGCAGCCCCCUGGGAUAAUACUGACGCUCAUGCACGAAAGCGUGGGGAGCAAACA
rnacentral:rRNA from 1 species